rnacentral:rRNA from 1 species
CUUGUAACCAUAAGAGGUCCAGCCUGCCCAGUGAUUUUAUUUAACGGCCGCGGUAUUCUAACCGUGCGAAGGUAGCGCAAUCACUUGUUUUCUAAAUAAAGACCAGUAUGAAAGGCAUCACGAGAACUUAACUGUCUCCUUUCUCCAAUCAGUGAACCUAAUCUCCCCGUGAAGAAGCGGGGAUCCCCCUAUAAGACGAGAAGACCCUGUGGAGCUUAAAAUAUAAUAUCAACUACUGCCCCAAUUACCCUCCCCACUUCCCCAGCGGCACCCUGAUCACAUAUUUUUGGUUGGGGUGACCGCGGAGAAAAACUUACCCUCCGUGAUGAAAAAGAAUUCCCUUAAACAACAAGUUACAACUUUAUGUAUCAAAAAAUUGACAUUCAUUGACCCAAUAAAUUGAUUAACGAAC